AGGGUACUGUAAAAUCUCUUCCCCUUUCAACUUUUUGUUAAUUUAUAUAAAAGAGACACGUGUAACCUGCUCGGUUCCCAAAUGGAACACCUAAAUAAGACCCCUAUGCCGCUCAAUUUUGUUUUAUUUUUCUAGGGUUUUGGUGCUGUGUUUUUAGGGUUUUUGGAUUGGGGGCUAUAACAAGUGAAGAAGAAGAGUGAAGAAAACCAGAAGCACAGAAAUCAGACCGUCAAUAGUAAUAAGCAGGAAUGGAGCACGGUUCCGUUUAAUCAAUCAAUAGUAGAGUCUUGUUGCUACAUGAAACAUCUAUCUUCGAGUGAUUGAAUUGUUCCCAAGACCUUGACCUUUUAAGUGAUUAUGCAGCUACUGCAAUUUUCUUUUCAGUUUCCCGUUUCUGUUUUUUGAGUUUCGACUUCUUGGCUCUUGCAUGUAACUUUUGCAGGUGAUCCAGUACGGGAGGUGUUGAAAGAUGCAUGUCAGAAGUUGAUGUUGACGUGCCAGCAUGUGAGGAGCACAUUGGACAAGGCUUUUGAUGAUUAUAGAAGCAAUCCCACACACACACACAUACCAAAUAAUGGUUGAGAUCGAUGUGACCAAUUGCAAUCUUCAUGUUAUGGUUUUAGCUGAAUGCAACAUGAUAUGUUUGAUCCAAUUCAAUCAGUGUGUUUGGAUAUGAUUCGUGUUUCUCAUCAUUUUGGAAUUGGAUGCAAAUUUCAUCAUCUUUUAGGGGUUGGGUGGAACAAAUUUAAUUGGCAUUUCUGCUAUCUAAGUUAACAGAGUCAGAGAGCUAUUCAUCUAGCAGGCAGGAUGGAGCAAUUUUGAUUUUUCUGUUCUCUCAUGAAGGUGCGAUCUGUUUAUUUCGUUCCCAUUUGAUUUCCAGAUAAUCACAGAAUGGUCCAAGUAAUUUACAGAACUGCUGCGAAUACAUGUGGAUUUGGAAUUUCGGUACUAGCAGCAGGCAGUGCAUUGCUCGAGUUAGUGAACACCUGUGUUUGAUUCUAACCAAAUAUGAAGCCAGGUAGAAUCAGUCUUUGCCCAAUAGAAUCAGCCAUCCCUCUCUGCUCCAGAUACAAUCGUCCAAAAUUGGAAACUAUUGCUUACAGAAGUUUUCUGAACAUAGUUAAAAACUGAAGGGGGGAAAAGAGAAGGACAGCAGGCAGGAAUUAUAUGUAAACGAAGCCAGUAAUGACAGCAGGCAGGAAUUAUAUGUAAACGAAGCCAGUAAUUUACGUGUAUGCAUAAUACAGAAACAAAUACACUGCAGCACCGGAUCAGUUACAAUUGCAGUGUUAGUCACAGAUGUGGCACAUCCUACAAGCUAGAAUAUGGACGAAGAGCAUAAAAAACAGGCACUUGAUGGAAGGGGCGUCACACUCACGCCUCAUCCCUGAUGCCAAGAAAUGGCCACGACUUGCUUCCCGGUUCAAGAGAGGACUUUAAAGUGAAAGAUCCAAGAAAUGACAAAGGCCAUCACCAUGCAGGCAAGCAAGAAAUUCAUAAGGCGGCGGCUAUGCCAAAAUGCUCGGGUCUCCACGAGGAUAAGAGGAACUGCUGGUGCUGAUAAGACUGCCGCACUAGCGUUAUGUGCCUCAUUUGUCUGCUCGCCUGCAACACCAAGUGCAGUGGCACCACAUAUCUCACAUGUCCUGUAAAAACAGAAACACAACAGCGUUAAGAUAAUUUAGAACUUCAAUCAAAAUUGAAUUGCCAUAAAAAUAACAUGGAGUCUCAAACCAGGUAACAUCUUGAGUUCAAAAGGGUAAAUUUUGUAUGGUGACAGAUUAAAUUGUUUGAAUUCAUAUACUUAUGGCAUUUCAGAAGAGCCACUGAGGAUUUAUUAGAUUUUGAGAAAGUGCUAUGGAAAGCAUUUUGUUGCUA